AAGUGACAUUGGAAGGGGUAGGGGAAGAGGAAGAGGAAGGGGAAGGGGAAGAGGAGAGGGAAGAGGUCCAGGAGAGGCCAACAAUGAGACAAACACACCUGCAUCAGCAAGGGGAAGAGGAAGGAGCGGAAGAGGAGCAACUUCCGAGUGGCUUGCCACUUUGUUGGGUUUCAAUGCUUGACAUGUAGCUCACUACAAGUUGCUUAGGAAAUCCACUACUAGUACCUACUUUUGUUUGACAUGUCAUUUGGACAUAUGUGUUGGUGUUUGACAUGUUCUCUGGACCUCUAUGUUGUCAUCAAACAUGAUACUAAAAUGGCAUGUUAUAUGGAUUUAGUUUGUUAGUCUGAAUGCAAUAUUUGUCAAAUUAGUUUGCUA